rnacentral:rRNA from 1 species
GACGUAGGGCGCGAGCGUUGUCCGGAAUUAUUGGGCGUAAAGAGCUCGUAGGCGGUCUGUCGCGUCGGCUGUGAAAACCCGGGGCUCAACCCCGGGCCUGCAGUCGAUACGGGCAGACUAGAGUGCGGUAGGGGAGACUGGAAUUCCUGGUGUAGCGGUGAAAUGCGCAGAUAUCAGGAGGAACACCAGUGGCGAAGGCGGGCU